GUAGGGUGCAAGCGUUAAUCGGAAUUACUGGGCGUAAAGCGUGCGCAGGCGGUUUUGUAAGUCUGUCGUGAAAGCCCCGGGCUCAACCUGGGGAUUGCGAUGGAGACUGCAAGGCUUGAAUCUGGCAGAGGGGGGUAGAAUUCCACGUGUAGCAGUGAAAUGCGUAGAGAUGUGGAGGAACACCGAUGGCGAAGGCAGCCCCCUGGGUCAAGAUUGACGCUCAUGCACGAAAGCGUGGGGAGCAAACAGGAUUAGAUACCCUGGUAGUCCACGCCCCUAAACGAUGUCUACUAGUUGUCGGGUUUUAAUUAACUUGGUAACGCAGCUAACGCGUGAAGUAGACCGCCUGGGAGUACGGUCGCAAGAUUA
rnacentral:rRNA from 1 species